CCAGAGCAAAAGGUUCUGGGCAAACUUAAGCUGAGAAAUUGUGUCGAGCAUUCAAGCGAUUUAUCCGGUUUUAGAUGAAAAGCAUUGAACAUUUAAAUCACGGUUAUCUACUGAUUUUACAAAACCACGAUUAAUAAUCAUCCUCAAAAGUUAAUUGACCAGCAAAAUCGCAUUAAUUGCUAAAACGCAUAGCAAAAAUUUAACAGUGUGGUGAAUAAAUAAAGCGUUUAAGAGCAAUAAAUGCUUUUAAUUAAAAACAUAAAAUGGUUAUCAGGCUUAGUAAAAUGAAGCCAAGCUUUGGUGUCAACAACACUUUAAUUGAAACACAUAAUAACAUAAUAUAACAAUAUUCUUUUAGAAACAGUGAUGGCUUAAGAUUUAUUACUAUCAAUUUAAGUGUAGACCAAAAAACCUAUUUAUUUGCCAAGGAUAAAAAUAAAAAUAUUGAGCGAAAAUCGGAUACUGAUACUACUACCAAGGGAUUUUAAAAUCGCGCUAUACCACCAACUGUGAAUAAUAAAAACAUAUUUUUACGGGCAUAAAUCAAUCUUAAAAGAUAUCACCUUCGGAAUAUUUUAAGACAUGGAUUUUUAAAAUUGAAAAUUCACACUUAUAUUGGUUUUGGAAUUGGAAAGGUUUACUCUCAAGAAUUCCGACUUAUCGAAUUUACCAAAAUAUAUGUUGAACUCCGAAUAGAACCCGUUGCUGCUGUGGACUAACAAUUCGUAGCCGGAAGUAAAAAAACUUUUUGCUAAGAAGCAAGGAGUUAUACAUGUAACUUAGGGGAAGUUCGCAAUAAAAGCGGCUACUGCUUAAAGACAUACUGGAACAUCGGUGACUCCCAGUAACAACAUAGUUUAAUACAAAAUUUGUAAGAAUACCAGUGAAUUAAUAGUAUUUAUACCUGCGAAUUUAUGAUGGAGUCUCGCCCGGAGUGGAGGAUACACCGCUUUAACUACCGAACCCUUCAUCUUCGUGUAGUUUUCUUUGUCUGGGCCUUAAUAUGGACCCAGUACCUAAACUGUGUCUUCUGUGGUGAAAAAUUGGCCCAUCGUUUGUAGGACUAAAAGCAAGAAUGGAGACAGGAAUGCGGCGGCCUCCCUGACACACUUUUACAGCUCUUGCAAUUACGGCUGGUGGUGUGUCUUCUUAAACAUUGGUCCGGCACUCUUCGUCGAUGGCGACAUGCGCUGGUCAACCUUGCAAAGAGUAAAAUUCCCGGGCCACAACUCUCGGCGAGAGAAUUCCUCCGUCAACAGCAUUGCGUCGAAAGCUCGAUGUCGUUCGAAUCCGACGACUGUCUUAGUUCUGUGCAGAGUCCUCAUUCAGUUCUUCGUGGACAUCCAGCAGCGCGGACGUGUUACACAGGCCGAAUCUAUGUACCUGCGAGCGAUAGCGUAUCGGAACAGACGAGAACGUCUUAUUGCGCCAAAUUUUUGUAUGCUGAAAACAAUAUGUUUGUUUAAGUGCGUGUGUGUUUUUACAAUCUUUGAAAAGUAAAACAUUUUAAGGAGCAUUAAGCACCCAUAAAAGUUCUGAAACUUCUCGUUAUUUUCGUCGCAAGGACAUGAUAAAUUCAAAGCUGAAUCUAAAAAUCAAAAAAACUUAGUACGGAAACGAGAAAUUAAUAGUAAUUGGAUCGAAAUUUGAGUGGCAUCGUUAGAAAUUUCGUUAAAGAAGCUGGGAUUGUAAUGCGUCUGACUAACGAAGCCGACAGAGGCAACUGCUACGCCGACAGUCAAUCUACUGACCAUAAAUUGCUCGCCCCUGCCAAAGAAUGGAUUACCCGAAAGCCAGGAGCCUGGUGCUCUCCUUCCUGUUCAUCAUCACCGUGGCCACCUCAGAUAGUGAAAUUAAUUUUCGCGUCGAUC